rnacentral:lncRNA from 1 species
GCUUGAGAGAACAAAUAUGAAAAUGCUUUGAAAUAAUGCUCUUUGAAGAAAUAACAAUGGCUGUAUUCUGACACAGUGUGAGCAGAUGCUGCGAGAUGCCACCCAAGGCCCACCCCUCUGCCUUAAGCUUAUGCAAGCCUGGCACUGCCCCCACUGGCGUGCCUAGAGGGCAGCAAUGCCUAGGACAGUCGUGGGACACAGUGCACCCUGUGAAAGAUGGAACUGCAAAACAGAAGCAGAAACAGAGCCAAAAAGAACAUAAAGCUAACUUCUACCACUCACAAUCAGCAUGUGGACAGCUUAUCAGUAAGUAUUCCUCAUUACA